UAGAGAGCAACCAGGUAUCCAGAGUAACUUUGGUUUGUGGGUGUUCCUUCCAAAGGGAGGGAGUUACAGUGUAAACGUUCAGGGCAAUGAGGAAAAGCCAAGGUUUUGUGGGAAUCCUGGGCGGGUUGUUACCUGUACAAUUGCCCAUGUCCUUGGCUGCAGCCCUGAGGAAGGAGAGCCCAGCUGCUUUUCCAGCUCCAUUAAGCACUGCGUUCUGGGACUGAGAGUGAGAAGCCCUUUUCCUUGGUUUCCUACUUGAAGCAGUGUUUGUUUUCCUCCUCAGCUGAUUUUGGCCUCUGUGCUGUGCUCAGCCCUGGGCACAGGAAACGGAGGUCGAUGGUCGGGACCACUUACUGGAUGGCACCCGAGGUGGUGAGAAGAGAGCCUUACGGCCCCAAAGUGGACACCUGGUCCCUUGGCAUUGCGGGAAUAGAAAUGGCCACAGGAGAGGCUCCUUAUAUGCAGGAGACCAGUGUCAAGGCCAGCUACCUGAUAGGCAAGCAAGGGGUUCCAAAUCUGCAAAAGCCCAGGCUACCCCCUGGCUUGUGUGAAUUUCUGGGCUGCUGCCUGCAGAUGGAUGUGGACAGGCGAGGCUCUGCCAAGGAACUUCUGCAGCAUCCAUUUCUGCAAUCAGCGGAGCCUCUCUUAAGCCUCUUCUGACAGCCUGAUUGCUGCCAUCCCUGCAGCAAGGGAAUGCAAGAAGCAAAGGAGAUGACAAGGUGUGAGAGUCUGUCCGAAACUUCCCUCAUUUUUUGCCUCUCGAUCGUCAUGAAAGCCAAGACCACCGGGGAAAGGGAAAGAUCCCGUUCUGAAAAUCCAGGUCUGUCUGGUCCACCAAGCCAGAUUAUUGCCUACGGGUGUGUUUGCUCAACUCAUGGAACACUGCACCCAAGAAGGGGCAGUGUGCUCUCCUUCGCCUGCAUCACCUAGCAACGCUAGUGCUGUUAUUUCUCCACCCUUCUGACUUGGCUGGACUUUCUCUCUGGAAUGACCUUCCCGGAGGUCACCACAAAAGGACCCUCCAUUCACCGUACAUCAACCACCGUGACAGAUGGACUGAGAUGGGAGAAGGUUCUCCCCUCAAGGACUGAGACGUGCGACCCCUACAUGGAAAAGCUCCCCUCUUUUCCCAAAAGGACUAAGACUGAAAUCCCCACCGUAGGGUGAGGGAAGGUAUGCGUGGGGACCGGAGCAAGUUUUGCAAGCGACCACUGGACCGAGAAGACAAUGGUUCCUGCCUACGACAUCUGCUGCUGACAACGCCUGUUCCUGAUGGACUACUGAUGGACUCCUUGUACCCUUUAUCAAUAGAGUAUUUUGAAAUGGGUCCCCUUCCCCCAUUUCAAAAGGACUAUAAAGAAGGUUAGACCUGACUGAUACCUUUGAGAUCUCCCCUGACGUGAGGACGACAGGCCUCUUCGUCAACCGGACUUCAAGGGACUUUGUCAUCUGCACAUCUGGUAGCUAUAUACCUCCUUGCCCUCCCUCUCUUCUUUUGCUUUUCCUUACUCUUUUUCCUUUCUUCAUUCCCCUUCUCUCUAACGCAUCUUUGCUAUGGCUAUUUAAUAAAAGUAUAUGUAUUUUGAUUUUACUGCAAAUCCCCUUGUCGUGUCAGUUUUUGCACCCUGAGAUCAGUGAAAAAGAACCUACACGAAUCACGUCCUUAGGACGGAUCGUGUCAUAAAUUGGAUCUUGGGUCACGGAUCUUGGGUUCUGGGGACGGAGGAGUCUGCAGGUUACGUGUAGUUUGUAACAGGGGAAGGACGUUUCACGGCAGCCGCACCUAAACUGUCAAGUUUCCCGAAAGGGGUUGAAGGGAUUUAGAAAGCAAGGGCUGUGAUUCGAAUUUCCCGCAUACUGCACAAACCAAGGCGGAAAACGCAUUCUCCAAACUCUUUUUGAGGGUUCUGUCUCCAGAAUAUCACAAAAGAUCUCUUGGUGCAAAAGGAAAAAAAAAAAACAACAAAAAAACCCCUGUUUCUGUUGUAAGAGUGUGUUUAACUGUCUGGGAAGGAAGAGACACCUUGAAGAAACUAAGCAGGGCCUCCCAGAUUGACUCUGUCUCUUCAACUGUGUGUGAGUGUUUAACUGUCUGGGAAGGAAGAGACACCUUGAAGAAACUAAGCAGGGCCUCCCAGAUUGACUCUGUCUCUUCAGCCACCCAGGGAAAAAGUUGAGUGAAGGGAAAACACAGUGUGUGAUUGUGUAACUGAAAACACCUCCCUGUUGUGGUCCCUAGUCCCUUCACAAGAUGAAUGAAGAUUUUGGUGCCAAGGCAAAAACUGAAUUUUACACACUACUUGCUAAACACAAUGCAAAACCUUCACCAGGCGGAGAGGCCUGGGCAAAGAGCAAUUGGUUUAAUUUAGAAAAUGUUGUUGAUAGAAUAUGUUCUUGCAGCAUGAAACAAAAUUUAAACUUGGUAAAGAUAAAACCAUCCUCUGCUCAGUUUUGGGAGCCUGCCUCACAGCAGCCAUAGAAACUCGCUUUAAGCGAAGAAGUGAGGAAAAUGCUAUAAUAGACUCCCUUCAAAACUUAGUUGGAGUUUUGCAAAAACAAUUAGAUGAAGAAAGAAAUGAAAAUAAUUUAUUACGGGCUGCCUUGAGAGAGGUACAUGUUAAAAAUUCACAGAACUUUGAUUCCUCAAAAGAAAGAGAGGAGAAGGAAACGUCUCACCUUAAUCAAAAUUACCCCCAAAAAGAAUUAGUUCUGAUGAAAAAUUUUGGGGAACACUGUUGUUGCAAUAGCAUGAAACCUCAAAUUAAAACAGAAUGCAACUAUAUUAAUGAUGAGGAUUUUGACCCACAUAUAAUCACUAAAGAAAUCCCAUACACUGCUACUGAAUUAACAA